ensembl:lncRNA
CCACACACACUCUCCACACACACAUGCCCACCCCACACACUCUACCGACUGUCACUGAAAGCUGCAAUGAACCAACACUGUGGUGAUGAAACCCCACACUCCCCAGGAUUAUCAAAUAAUUGCCUUGGUUUUCUGAGAGCUUCUCUGAAUUUAAAAAAUGUGUUGUCACAAGGCCUAAUCCUGCACUGGAGGAGAGAAUGGGCAGGAAGAGGGGUGAGAAAGAGGAUGGAGACAGGGGGAGUUGUUUAUUAAAUGCCCUUGGAAAAAACAGCACAAUCUUCAAGCAGAAAACCAUGAAGACGCUUAGAUAACGACAAAAAGCUGAAGAAAGAUGAAAGAACCCAGGAAGGGAGUGAGAGAAUGACAGAUGAGAGGAACUUAGGGAGAAAGAAAGGGAGUGGGAGAGAGAGAAAUAGAUGGAGGGAACAGAGAAUUCAUCAGUGUCUUGACAGGGUCUGAUUGCAGUUUCUGACACAGCAAUGAGUUCAGUCAGUUGGAAAAGCCAAGCAACGUCUGUCUGGAACACCAUGUUACACUCCAAUUCUGAAUGGAGGCACUACCUCAAGAGAAUGUUGCAAUAUGGCCAGACAAAUAUAUAUACACCCAUCAGCCAUAACAUUAUGACCACCUGCCUAAUAUUGUGUGGGUAGGUGGCACAUAAGUAACAUCCACAUGAAUGGCCGGACCCAAGGUUUCCUAGCAGAACAUUGCCCAAAAGCAUCACACUGCCUCUGCUGGCUUGUAUUCUUCCCAUAGUGCAUCCUGGUGCCAUGUGUUCUCCAGGUACACAAAACACACGCACCCGGCCAUCCAUGUGAUGUAAAAGAAAAUAUGAUUCAUCAGACCAGGCCACCUUUUUCCAUUGCUCCGUGGUCCAGUUCUGAAUGCUCAUGUGCCCAUUAUAGGAGCUUUCGGCAGUGGACAGGGGUCAACAUGGGCACCCUGACUGAUCUGCGGCUACACAGCCCCAUAAACAACAAACGGCGAUGCAUUGUGUUCUGAUACCUUUCUAUCAGUACCAGCAUUAACCUUUCCUGUAAUUUAAGCUGAAAAAUCCAACAGUAGCUCUUCUGUUGGAUUGGACCACACGGGCCAGCCUUUGCUCCCCACGUGCAUCAAUGAGCCUUGGCCGCCCAUGACCCUGUCGCUGGUUCCCCCCUUUUGCUUCCUGGAACACUUUUGAUAGGUACUGACCACUGCGGGUCUGCAGUUUUGGAGAUGCUCUGACCCAGUCGUCUAGCCGUCACAGUUCGGCCCUUGUCAAGUCGCUCAGGUCCUUAAGAUUACCCAUUUUUCCUGCUUCUAACACAUCAACUUCGAGGACAGAAUGUUCUCUCACUGCCUAUUAUAUCCCACCCACUGACAGGUGCCAUGACAACUAGAUUAUCAGUGUUAUUCACUUCACCUGUCAGCGGUCAUAAUGUGAUGGCUGAUCGGUGUACGUCGAAUGUUAUGUUAGUAAUCAUAAUGUUAAUUUGGGUUGUGAUAAUGUUAGUCAUCAUAAUGUUAAUUUGUUGUGAUAAUGUUAGUAAACAUAAUGUUAAUUAGUGUAGUGAUAAUAUAAAUAGCUAAUGAUAUGUGUAAUUAACCAUAUAUCUUGUAUGUUAAUCAGUAAGGGCAUGUGUAAUGAUGUUAAUAGGUAAUGUCUGGCGAUAUGUUACGGUAAUGUAAUAUUGUAUCCUAACAGGAUCCGUCAUUCAGUUGAACUAACUCUUUACAUUAUAAAUGCAUUCAGUUUGUGUCGUUGUUUGGCAAGCAUUCAGUGAAGAGCACCUCCACGUUGGUCCGCUGAUGGUUCUAUAGUUCUACAUAGUUCUAUAGGCUGUUGGUUUUCUACUGGGAUCAAGUAUUACAGCUGUCUGCAAUAACCAUUACAGUUUGGUUCAUAUUUCUUGAUAUUCACGCCACUGUGUCCUGCCAGGGUCCUGUUUACUCUGUUUACACAGAACCAACUCAUUCAAAGCAAUGCCCCAUUUCUUAGACGACAAAACUUAAAUUCCAGACCCCCUAUAGGACUGCUUUCCCACAGCUCAGACACACUGACUGAUUGUUUUCUUUGUGUCCCAUUCAUCCCACACCUGCCAAGAGGAUCGCCUACACAGCAGGGUUCAGAUGUCUCACACACACACACACACACUCAGGAUCAGAGAACACCCCAUACACAGCGGUCAGAGGUAAAGAUAUACCGUCUCAUUGACUUCUAUUGUCCAGUCUGUUUCUGAUGUGUUUUUCUUGUGUAUUUGUGUGUGUGUGUUUGUGUUUAUGUGUUGUGUGUGUGUGUGUGUGUCAAAUUACCAGUAAACACAUCAUCCUUACAAAAUGUCACAUUGUUUUGUCCUUGUCUUCAGUUCCCAAAAGACAUUGAUCAAUGAAAGCGAUAGUUACCAGGGGCUUAGAAAUAACAGAAGGCCAUUCAAACUGUCAGAACAGGACAGGACUGUUCACUGUUUUAAACCCAUGAAUAGUUGUGUGUGUGUGUGUUAGGUAACAGUGAUGUAUGUUGAAGCCUCCUGAAUAAAUCCUCUAAACACAAAGCAUGCAUCCCCAAAGGAACCCUAUUCCCUAUCUAGUGCACUACUUCUGAAAGGUCAAGUCCUUGGUGAAAGCAAACAGGUAUCAGUGUGGCUGGAUGAAAGGAGGCUAACAUAGAGACCUUGUUGACAAGAAUUACUAACGACAAUGGAAGCAGAACAGAUGUCUCUAACGUCAUCUCCUCGUGUGGCGGUCACAUCCUCUCUCCAUCAGGCGUCACAUCCUCUCUCCAUCAGGCGUCACAUCCUCUCUCCAUCAGGUGUCACAUCCUCUCUUCGUCAGGCGUCCACAUCCUCUCUUCAUCAGGCGUCAGGUCACCUCUUCAUCAGGUGUCAGAUCACCUCUUCAUCAGGCGUCAGGUCACCUCUUCAUCAGGCGUCAGGUCACCUCUUCACCAGGGACAGAGAGGGACAGGGACAGAGAGGGACAGGGAUAGAAAGGGAAAGAGACAGCUGAGGGACAGGGACAGAGAGGGACAGGGUCAGAGAGGGACAGGGAUAGAAAGGGAAAGGGACAGCUGAGAGACAGGGACAGAGAGGGACAGGGUCAGAGAGGGAGACACAGGAGAAUUAGGGGGACCAUACAUAAGGUCAACAGAACACCAGAUAAGACAAAAUAAAUGACACGGAAUAGGACAGACUAAUCCUACCUCUACAUUACACUGCUUAAAAAUUACUCCGGCACAAAAUGUUGACAACUAACUACCAUGAGGCAAGGCCGAGUGUUGCUCAAAAAGACUUCUUCCAUGACACGCCAAGAGGAUGCAAAGCAUACGAAACGUUCAUGUCAGUGACUCAUCUCACUUACCCUUGAAGCAAAAAGCCUGGCAUGACCUAAAGUAUCCUCUUGC